rnacentral:rRNA from 1 species
UACGUAGGGGGCAAGCGUUGUCCGGAUUUAUUGGGCGUAAAGAGCGUGUAGGCGGCUUUACAGGUCCGUUGUGAAAACUCGAGGCUCAACCUCGAGACGCCGGUGGAAACCGUAAAGCUAGAGUCCGGAAGAGGAGAGUGGAAUUCCUGGUGUAGCGGUGAAAUGCGCAGAUAUCAGGAAGAACACCCGUGGCGAAGGCGGCUCUCUGGGACGGUACUGACGCUGAGGCGCGAAAGCCAGGGGAGCGAACGGG